UCCUACGGGAGGCAGCAGUGGGGAAUUUUCCGCAAUGGGCGAAAGCCUGACGGAGCAAUACCGCGUGAGGGAAGACUGCCUAUGGGUUGUAAACCUCUUUUUUCAGGGAGGAAUCAAUGACGUGUACCUGAAGAAUAAGCAUCGGCUAACUCCGUGCCAGCAGCCGCGGUAAGACGGAGGAUGCAAGUGUUAUCCGGAAUCACUGGGCGUAAAGCGUCUGUAGGUGGUUUAAUAAGUCAACUGUUAAAUCUUGAGGCUCAACUUCAAAAUCGCAGUCGAAACUAUUAGACUAGAGUAUAGUAGAGGUAAAGGGAAUUUCCAGUGGAGCGGUGAAAUGCGUAGAUAUUGGAAAGAACACCGAUGGCGAAAGCACUUUACUGGGCUAUUACUAACACUCAGAGACGAAAGCUAGGGUAGCAAAUGGGAUUAGAUACCCCAGUAGUCCUAGCCGUAAACAAUGGAUACUAGAUGUUGAACAGAUCGACCUGUGCAGUAUCAAAGCUAACGCGUUAAGUAUCCCGCCUGGGAAGUAUGCUCGCAAGAGUGAAACUCA
rnacentral:rRNA from 1 species